GAUGAACGCUAGCGGCAGGCUUAACACAUGCAAGUCGAGGGGCAGCAUAAACAUUGCUUGCAAUGUUUGAUGGCGACCGGCGCACGGGUGCGUAACGCGUAUGUAACCUACCUCAAACAGGGGCAUAACACUGAGAAAUUGGUACUAAUUCCCCAUAAUACUUUGGAAGGCAUCUUUUGGAGUUGAAAGUUCAGGCGGUUAUGGAUGGGCAUGCGUUGUAUUAGCUAGAUGGUGAGGUAACGGCUCACCAUGGCUACGAUACAUAGGGGGACUGAGAGGUUUAACCCCCCCACACUGGUACUGAGACACGGACCAGACUCCUACGGGAGGCAGCAGUGAGGAAUAUUGGUCAAGUGGACGCAAGUUCUGAACCAGCCAUGCCGCGUGCAGGAUGACGGCUCUAUGAGUUGUAAACUGCUUUUGACAAGGGUAACCCUGGGGACGCGUCCCAGGCUGAA
rnacentral:rRNA from 1 species